rnacentral:rRNA from 1 species
AUUUGGCAUCUUUACUGGUUUUAAUAUGUUUUUUCAUAUUUUUCCAGUUUUUUUACUUUGAGAAAACUAGAGUGUUUCAAACAGGCUUUCGCCUUGAAUACUACAGCAUGGGAAUAAUGAAGUAGGACUAUUGGUUCUAUUUUGUUGGUUAUUGAACCAUAGUAAUGGUUAAUAGGAGCAGUUGGGGGCAUUCGUAUUUAACUGUCAGAGGUGAAAUUCUUAGAUUUGUUAAAGACGAACUACUGCGAAAGCAUUUGCCCAAGGAUGUUUUCAUUAAUCAAGAACGAAAGUUAGGGGAUCGAAGACGAUCAGAUACCGUCGUAGUCCUAACCAUAAACUAUGCCGACUAGAGAUUGGAGGUCGUCAGUUUAAAACGACUCCUUCAGCACCUUGAGAGAAAUCCAAAGUCUUUGGGUUCUGGGGGGAGUAUGGUCGCAAGUCUGAAACUUAAAGGAAUUGACGGAAGGGCACC